rnacentral:rRNA from 1 species
UGCCAGCCGCCGCGGUAACACGGGGGGCGCAAGCGUUAUCCGGAAUUAUUGGGCGUAAAGGGUCCGUAGGUGGUUUUAUUAGUCUUUUGUGAAAGACCCAGGCUCAACUUGGGGAACGCGAAAGAAACGGUAAGACUAGAGAUUGUGAGGGGUGUGUGGAACUCAUGGUGUAGGGGUGAAAUCCGUUGAUAUCAUGGGGAACACCAAAAGCGAAGGCAACACACUGGCACAUAUCUGACACUAAGGGACGAAACCCUGGGUAGCGAAUGGGAUUAGAUA